rnacentral:misc_RNA from 1 species
UGCGGGCGGCGCGUCAUGGCUGAGUGAGGGUGCCAUGCCCCGCUGCUUCAUGGCCAAGAAGGCGGGGGGGCGCCCCUCCCCGUACCCACAACCACCCACCAGGGACAAGUCACCCCCCCCGGAGGGACCCCGCGGCGCGUGGACCCCGCGAUCACCCACGGCGGGGGAAACGGCCCCCUCCCCCCCGCCCUCCCACGCCACGGUCCCCCACCAUCACUACCCACUCGACCUCCACGUGCCCCCGCCCCCUCACCAUUACUACCCCGCACCGCCGCUGGACCUGGGGCGCCCGGGGCAGGGGGGCGGAUACCCCAUGUACCCCCCGGGGCCGCAGGGGCACCACGACCCCCGCUCCCGAGGCAAGGGGGAAGGGGGGGAGAGGGUGGUGGAGGUGCACAUCCCGGAGGUAGCCAGGCCGGACCCCCAGCGGCCCCAGCCCCCCCACGCCCAGCCAGGCCCCUACCACCAUCACCCGCACCCGCCCGUCACCCUGCUGUACGGCGGGUACAUGGCGGACCCCCGCGGCUACAGUCCACCUGGGCCCGUGGCGCUGCCCCUCACGCCCUCCCCUGACGGCCACGGCCGCGCCCUCACCCCCACGGAGGGGCUGGGUGGUCUGGUGUCCCUGGCGCCGCUGUGUCCGCAGUACGAGGGGCGCGCGGAGCCCCCCGAGGAGCCCAUCAACCUGACGACGCGGCAGCCCGCGGCGCUGUACGACCGCCCCCCGGAGGACCUGACCACCGCCCACGCCAUCCUGGACUUGUCCACCGCCCGCGUGGCAGAGUACUCCCCGCCCAACACGCCGCCCUCACCCCAUGCCCCCCUCGACUACCCACCACACGCCCACCACACCCAUCACACCCACCCCGCGCCCCCGCCCGGCCCGCCGCCAUACCAUCUGCACGGCAGCGACGCCCCGCUGCUGGAGCGGCCGCCGGAAAGCACGUCGCCCAAGACCGCGGCGUGCACGGUGGCCUACACGUACGAGGCGUUCUUCGUGAGCGACGGCCGCUCCAAGCGACGCGGCGCCGAGAACAACGACAAGCCGCGGUACACGUGCUCUGAGUGCGGCAAGCACUACGCCACCUCGUCCAACCUCUCGCGCCACAAGCAGACGCACCGCGACCUGGACUCGGGCAGCGCGCGACAGUGUCACGUGUGCGGCAAGGCGUACGUGAGCAUGCCGGCGCUGGCCAUGCACGUGCUGACGCACAGCCUGACGCACCGCUGUGGCGUGUGCGGCAAGGCCUUCUCGCGCCCCUGGCUGCUGCAGGGACACAUGCGCUCCCACACGGGCGAGAAGCCCUUCGGCUGCGCCCACUGCGGCAAGUCCUUCGCAGACCGAUCCAACCUGCGCGCGCACAUGCAGACACACUCCCAGCUCAAGAACUUCAGGUGCAAACGCUGCAACAAGUCCUUCGCCCUCAAGUCGUACCUCAACAAGCACUACGAGUCGGCGUGCUUCAAAGACAUGCCGCUGCCACCCUCGUCGCCGGAGCCGCAGGAGGGGGAGGACAGUUAGUAGUCCCCCCCCCGGGCCCGCCUGUACCGUACAAACCCGCCGUCCCGACCCACCACCAGGCCGCCGCCGCCCGCGCCGCCCGCGCCGCCGGGGCGGCCCCCGGGCGGCGCGCCGCUGCCAUGAUCAAAAGCACGCUGUUAUAUUCCCGUUGUUGACGCUGACGCCUGACGCCUGACGCCUGACGCCCGUGUUCGGCGGCCAAGACGAUGCUGUCCUCAAGAUUCUCUCGCAACUCCCACCCUGCGGCGCACGAGAGGCCGGGGGGGGCGCCGCUCCCCCCGCCGCGCACUGUUGUUAGCCACGUAUUGUUAACGUUACACUUCUGUUCCCGUUCCGGCGGCGCGACGCGUCACGCCGCCGCCGAGUUUCACAGACAACGAAGCCUCAACGAGCCGCCGCCGCCGCCGCCGCCGACGCCGCCGCCGCCAUCGCCGCCGCGCCCCCUCGGCGGGCGGCGACAGUCCCUAGGUAGCCAGACGACCAUCUCAAUAUUGCAUAGCUAUAAGUAUUUUUUCAGAUCUACUAAAGCCAAAUAAUAGAUUAUAUUCGAUCGUAGUGUAGGCGCUUCCAGGAUUCUCUCCUCGGUUCCCUUACUUAUUUCCGCGAGGCGGGGCGCUGCCGGGGGCGGGGGGCUUCGCACCCAUGAACCUGCGAGGCUGACCGGGGGACGGCGAGGCGGAGCUGUACAUAGGGCCCGCUGCCCCCCGCUAGCCCGCGGCCAUCAUAACACACAUGUCCUGCCCUCUUCAGCCUGCCAGCCCCCCUCUUGCCUGGCGGGCGGUGGGGGUGGAGGGAGGAAGGAGGGGCUGCGGCAACACACCGCACACACACACCUGCUCCAAUAAGGAAUGGGGCGCAACACACUACACCACGCUCUCAACACACACACACACACACACACACACACACACACACACACACACACACACAAAACACCAGAAUAUUGACCAAAGACCCAUUUUUCCCACACGCCCCCUUAAAACACCCAAAACACUCAAAACAAGCAAAGAAGCGUGAAUUUAGAAACGUCCCUGAAAUGACACGAACAUUAAGGGAAUGUAAGUGGGUCGCCGCCCCCAAGACGCCCCUGAGAACGCCCCCUCUCGCAAGUUUAAGUGUGCUCUAGACGAGUUACAUCAGCGGCAGAAAUACUUAAAUAGUUGAUACUCUUAAAAACUGUAGUAACUUUAGCACUUAAGAGACAGUUGGUUGUAGUGAUGAUGAUGAUGAUGAUGAUGAUGAUGAUGAUGAUGAUGAUGAUGGUGAUGAUGAUGGUGAUGUGAAGGUGGUGGUGAUGGUAGUUAAAAAAGGAGGAGUCAGUGAUGGUUGAGGUGCGUGGCAUAGAUUGUGGUGGUGAUGGUGAUGAUAAAUUUGAGUCUGUGUGUAAAUCUUGCGUGUGUAUGUGACAUUUUAUUCAUUCGUACACACACACACACACACACACACACACACACACACACACACACACACACACACACACACACACACACACACAAUUCAUAGUUUACAAUGAGAGAGAGAGAGAGAGAGAGAGAGAGAGAGAGAGAGAGAGAGAGCACCUUACAACACACACACACAUCUGCCAUUUAAACCUCACACGGGAACGACGAAACGCCAAGAAGAGAAGGAGGAGGAGGAGGAGGAGGAGGAGGAGGAGGAGGAGGAGGAGGUAAAGGUUGGAGGACAGACUGAACCAAAUAUUUUAUGGUAUCCAGUCGCUUGUCUAAUGUCAGGCUGGUAUUUGAAGACUGGGAAAUCCUCCUCUUCCUCCUCCUCCUCCUCCUCUUCCUCCUCCUCCUCCUCUUCUAUUCUUCCUGUAGAUCUGUUAUUAAUCUUCCUUCUCUUUCUUCUUCCUUUUCUCUCUCCUACCAUGACCACUACUCACUCUCUCCUUACCAGCACACACUCUCACUCUCUCACACACCCUAUAACACUCACCAUUAGCACUCUUACUCUCACUCCCCUAAAACCAUCACUCUCACGCACUCUCCCACUCACCAGUACUGUCAGAAGUCUACCACUCUUACCCCACACUCACUCACUCCUCUCACUCUCACAUUUCAUACUCUUACUUCUCACUCUCACUCUACCACACUCCCCACUGCCACCACCAUCACCACCACCACACCUACUUCCUCUCAGGCGUGUCUCCUAAGAUAACCUUCCCUUUACUUCCUCCUCCUCCUCCUCCUCCUCCUCCUCCUCCUCCUCCUCCUCCUCCUCCUCCUCUUCUUCCAUUGGUCUAAUGUAGGAAGGGAAUGAAGACUAAUCUCUCUGCCUCGACCACACCCUCUCUAUCACACUUCUGCACACUCCCUCAUUAGCUGGCAGGUGUGUGUGUGUGUGUGUGUGUGUGUGUGUGUGUGUGUGUGUGUGUGUGUGUGUGUGUGUGUGUGUGUGUGUGUGUGUUUUCACCUGUUAAGCAAAGACACACUUUUCACCACCACAGAUUUAAAACCCCCCAAAUAAAACUAAGCUAGUCCUUUUAAAAGCAAAAGAAAACACCCCUAAAUGCCGCCCCCCACACGCUCCCGCCCCCCUCGCCAUUUACAAUCUCUGCCACGCCUCCCGCCCUCCUCUCCUCGCCUUGUAAAUAGCACUAUACCAAAGAAAUUUAAAUACACUUUAUAAACUUUAUAAAUAUUGGGAACUUUUAAAUGAUAGAAAGAAAAGAACAUUUAUUUCUACUCCAUAACGUUUAGGGGGGGUGCUGAGGGGGUCUGCGUGCCCUUUAGCUAAGCCCCCCCUUAAAGUCACGCCUGUAUAUAUCAUAGAAAACGGGGAAUGAUAUUUAUAGAGGUUUUUUAAUGCUAAUUGAUAAGGUUCAAGGUUCUACAGUGCAGAAGCGGUUCUAUGGGUCUUACCUGUAUGUUUGUUAGCGUACAGGUGAAGGUCUCGUGUCUAUCUCUCUCUAUACAGUUAAUCUCUUGUUACUGUUAUUGUAAAGUGUACCUGUAAUUGAUGUACAGGUAAACUACUCAACUGUACCUGUCAAUUUGUGAUCUACAGGUCAAUUCGCCACCUGGUACCUGUAAUAGUUCCGCAACAGGUAAAUUAAUCAAGUUUACCUGUAAUUUUGUAAUCUACAGGUGUGUACUUAUAAAGACAAACAGCAUCUGUGCUCGAUUAGGUAAUUAACAGGUAAAAUGAACACCUGUGACUUUAUAACACAACUCAUCUGUAUGUAUCCUUAAUCAUACAGGUAAUCAGUCAAUUAUACAGGUAGGGCCCAUCGCAUUGUUUUUCUACAGGUAACGAGUUUAUGUACCUGUGUUAUUUCUACAGGUAUGCGCCCUGAGCACGCCCUGUACCUGUGGAGCCUUGUAGCGCUGUAGUGACUGUAGCCCGUAGACAUGGCGGUGUGUCUACCUGCCUGUAGGGGACGCCAAUUAGCACACCUGCUCCAGUCAUUAUGCAAACACCUGCCUGGUUAUACUUAGAAUUACUUAAGGGACACACCUGCCUACUUAUAAUGAUACGUACACACUUACAUGACUUACUUAUUGACUUGGUUCUAAUGGUACAUGCACUUCAAUCAUUUACUUAUUUCCGUACAUAAGUGCUGCCAUGAUACCUACACACACGAUCUACUUAUAAAGGAACACACACUUCAGUGAUUUUCUUAUCUACUUAUUUACUUAUAUAAGUGAAAGUUGGGUACAUAAGUGAAUGCGUGGACACUUACAAAGGACGGAUUUCCUUGUAAGUGUGUGUGUGUUAAGUGAGGAUGAAAUGAGUCAUGUCCAAGGCAAGGAGAAGCAAUAAUACGGUGACGACUGAUUGCAAUAAGUGUUGUGAUGCUUAGUGUUUCAUACACACACACACACACACACACACACACACACACACACACACACACACACAGUCAGUCAGGUAGUUAAGGCAGUUAGUCAGUCCAUCCAUCCAAUCACACACACACACACACACACACACACACACACACACACACACACACACACAGUAAUGGCAAUGUAUCAAAAUCACUAUCAAAAUCAAUCAAAAAGUUACACAAACCAACCCGCCAAACACGCAACAAACAUGAUCAACACAAACCGAAACAAACCUAUGCACAUAAAAUAACUAAAAAAAUAACUAUAACUAUAUAUAAACAGUAUUUUAGAGAAGUAAGAAUAAAAAAAAACUUUCAAAACCUAACCUUUAUUCUACUAACUCUCUAAUCCUCUCUCUCUCUCUCUCUCUCUCUCUCUCUCUCUCUCUCUCAAUGAUAUGUACUAUGUAUCUAUGCCAUCACAUUCAAUAUGCAAUAAAAGGUAAAUUAAUUAAUGAAGUAAUGUGCUCAUAGUUGAUUAUAAUUGACGCACCUGCCCUCAGUGUGUCCAGGUGUGUGGCGUCCCGGUGCACAGGUGUGUCUUGUCACCACACACCUGUGACUUCUUGUUGUGUCUGGACUUGAAACAGCAAUUCCUUCAUUAAUUCCUGCGCAAAACUCAAAUCUCUUUACCAAUCAUAACGAUAAACUGUUUUUCUCUUUUACGAAUCAUCGCCAAACAUUUCCUUCGUCAACAACAUCAAAGAAUAUCAAUCUCUGUAUCAAUUAUCACAAAACACAAUGAUUUUCUUCACAUCACAAGAAAACAGUCAAUUUUCCUACCAGUUAUGAAUGGUUCCAUCACUAACCACAAAACCAUGAUACCUUUCAAAGUCCAGACGUCAAGAGUCACUGAGGGGAGGUGUAGCAUCUCUCACGUCACCCCUCCUCACCUCAUCCCCUUCCUCCACCAUUCCCUGAGGGCGUGGCGGGGGGUGUGAGGGUGAGGAGGGGUGAGGGAGGGGCUGUGUAGUGUAUAAGCGUGCUGGUGUGGCGGGGGGAUGGCGGAGGCUGAUGUGCGGCACUUGUGACCAGUGUUCAGUGGACUGCCAAACACUUGUACAGGGAAGAUGUGUCAAUAAGUACCAAAUGAAGUGUUGAAGUGUGCAAACUUACACUAAGGGAGAAAAAAAGUGGUUAAGUUUGACAAGAAGGAAAUCAGUGUGUUAAGUGAGCACUGCCACACACUUAUCAAGGAGAGGAAACACGCCAGCAAGGUUGAUCUGAAGUGUGAUAAGUGUGAACUCAACUACAAAACACUUAUUAGAGGAAAAAAAAAAAAUCCAAUAAAUUCGAUAAAAAAAGUGUAAUCAAAUCAAUCUUAGAAAAAAAAAAAAUGAAACACUUGAAAACAUUAAUUCACAAUAGAGAAAAACUAAAACAUUAAUUCCCACAAGAAAAAAAAAAUUUACCAAUAGAAAAAAAAAAUAAAAUAAAUAUAUACCAUCUCUUCAAAAAACUAAUGAAACAAAGCAGCCAUCCCUUUAAAAGUGCAAAGAAAACGGGAAGUAACAGUGCCUAACUCACGCUUCAAUAUAACAUGAACUACAACCUGGAAAAAAAAGGAAAAACCAGUCCCUGUUAAAAAGACAAAAGAAAAUGGAGCGUGCAAAGAAAACGUGAUGUGAGUGGUCCAUGCCCUUCCCCGCCCUGCCCCGCCCUGCCACGCCAGCACAAAGCCACGCCACGUUAUAACUCCACAAUAACAGUAGCAAUAACGACCCCUUGUAGCAAUAAUGACGCAAUGUAGCAAUAACGAUAACCAUGCAAUACACCCCGCCCCCCUCCCCCCCCACGGCUCAAGGAGGCAACCUUUUUAGGGAUUCAAGGGAGGAUCUGUUCAACUCAUCUCCUAAGUCACUCCUAAGUCACUUCAGUCACUUCACUGGGAUUCUAAGUCAUGUUACCUUCGUUCAUUGACUUAAGGCAAGUUUCUGGUCUUAAAUCUCUCUUUUUCUUCACUUUUUACUUGAAGACAAUUACAGUUCGCUUCUCACUAACUUAGAUAAGAGUUUUGAGUGUCUUAAGUUAUUUCCAAGUGUCUUAAGCUUGUUUUCUUCACUAUUACUUUAUUUACUUUACUUUAUUACAUUACUUAUUACUUUUUCUGACCUUUACAUCCUCGUAGCCACUUUUCAGUCACUUCAGCGGAAUUUUUAAGUGUUCCGUCAGUUGCAGAAACAUUCAGUCAACUUUCAAUCUUUUAUUCAAUGCAAGUCAGUCAAAACGUCCAGUUACAGUAGAUGGUUUCUUCAGUCUUUCCAUCUAUAAGUCAGUCUCUAUGUCAAUCAGUCAAUCUUCAGUCUUUCCUCUCUUAAGUCUAUUUCUACAGCAAUCAGUCAGUCUUCAGUCUUUCCCUCUCUAAGUCAGUUUCUACAGCAAUCAGUCAAUCUUUCAUCGCUGAGUCAGUCUGUUGUGUCAUGUACGUCAACUGGUGUACAUGAGUGUGUAUGUACGUAUGGUUAAGUUUGUGCACACCUGAUUUUAUUGUUAAGUCACAAAUUGAUGUUUAAGUGUUCACCAUUAGUGUUAGUUUGAUACUGGUCUAUUUAUUCCGUCUUCUUUCAUUAGUUACUUAAAGAAUAACAACACUCACUCAUCUACUUAAAUGCUUACUUAUCUAGUCAAUUUUAAGAUUUGUCAAUUCGUUUAUUUAUAUAUUUAGAUACUUCUCAUGUUAAGAUCAUUUUGUUCACUCAUUCAACUGCCUAUUUAUACGCUCUCGAUUAUAAGAUUAAUUUAUUGACCUCCUUAACUGACUAUCUAUCUAUUUCAUGUUUGUCGUAUAAUUAAUUUGCUGUCCUGUCUAUGUAUGUAUCAGCUUAUGACGUAUCAGUGUCCUAGGUUCGCUGUCAUUAUAUCAAGUUCUAAUGCAGACGAACUUUCAUGAGUCUAGUCACAAAACAAAUAUUUGAUAUCAAUAUUAUUAUUUUGUAAAGCCAUCAUUAUUAAUAUUAUGAUGUGCAAGGUAAGAUGUUUAUUACUAUUAUGUGUUCUUUUGGGUGAUGUGCGUGUCUCAGACCUCAAAAUGUCUGAAAUAUUGUAUGUUUACUUGCUUUGUCGAAAUGUUAUCUAAUUCAGUGAUCUCAUUACGUUACUGGUAUAAUUUCAUAAGUAGGUUUUAAUAUUUUUUCUAGUCAGUGAUUUGUUUCAAGUUCUAGUCAGUGAUCUCGUGUAUUAAUAUAAGUGAAUUUGUUCCUUAUAAUGAUCUCAUGGUUUGGUACAAAGACGAUUUAAAGGCUGAGGGAAUGUUGUCCAAUGUUUCUCAAAUAUCGUUCUAGUCACGUGUUUGCUUUAUGUGAGUCUUGUGUCUCUUGUGUUUUGGUGAAGCUUUGAUCCUCAUAUCUAAAGCUUCAACAAACCAGCAUUUUAUCUCCUGUGUUACGGUAAACCUUGUGAUCAUGAACCAUGGUGUGUCGCCUUGUCAAUACUGUGUUAUCUUGUGUGUUAUCACGAACCUGAUAGUCACUGAAUCAAGUUAAUGUUACAAGACUCUUUCCCUCUGCGCUGUCGCCUUAUGACCUCAGUUUACAUUUCAUGCAUUCCACUGAACUGAAUUGUCAACUUAUUUUUUACCUCAUACAUUCCAGUAACAUUUCCCAAACUAUUCCCAUUCGCGCUGUGUCGUUCUGUCAACUGACUCUUCAUUUCAUGCCAUUGGCUAAUCUUAUAGACAUUAAUUCCCUGACCGUCGUGUCGCCAUGUCAACUUACUUCUCAUCUCGAGUGUUUCAAUUAACUUUACAAUCAUAUUUCCAAUCGCGUUGUGUCGCCGUCAGCAAUUCAGUGGCGCGGGAGUUCAGUUGCCACCCUCACUUGUCGCGGUGUGAAGGAAACAGUAAACACUUGCCUUCCCGCCUCGCCCCUUGCAUCCCAACGCUGCCACCAGUGUUGUGUCACGCCGCCGCCGCCUCCGCCGCCGCCGCCCUCGCCAAUGCUUUACUUAUACUAGCGCGCCUCGAUCCUGGAGGGACCCGAAGAUGCCAAACUAGAAAGCGGCAAUUGUAUCAAUAGGGUGGAAAGUGAUAAGUCAACAAGCCACCAUACUGAACGAAACACAGAAUUUAAGAAUAGAAGAAUGGAAAUGACAGGCUAUAUAAAUAGUCAUUGUGAUGUUAAAAAUGAAAACGAAAAUAAAGAUCAAUACAGUGUUCAAUAUAACAUCAAACAAGAACACGCAGAAUAUAAGAUGAAAGUCAAUCUUCGUUCGUGAAAAAAAAAAAAAAAAAAUCAAUACAAAGCACAUCCUGACGAGAAAAUAAUAAAAUGUUUCGCCAUAAGGUUGAAAAUCACAACACAAACAAUGUGCUGGUGAGUUACGACACUUCCACACCUCCUUAUUCAUGGUGACUUCAAACAACAUCCACAAAAAAACAGCAUCAUCUUCGCGUCCCGCCCACAACUUACCUUCGCCUAUGCUUACCUGCCUACACCUGCUUCUACCUACCGCCGCCAUACACUCGUACAUACAACCCUUACCUUACUACCUAAACUAACACUUGCCUCUCUUCUCCCCUCACUCUAUAUACAAGCCUGCGAGGUCUGAGGAGGGCGCCGUCCCCCCUUAACCCCCCACAGGUAUUAGGUCCAGGUGUGAGGCGAGGGAGAGGUAAAAAGGACUAACCUUUCUCUAUGGGAUAUACAAAAGCGUGACUAUAACUUCUGUUCUUUAUCUAUAGAAGCGGCAAUAGUGCAUAGCGAAGGGCGCCACGCUGUCACCUGUUGUGUUUACCUGUGGUGGUUCGGUGUGUCUGUAUCCACCUGUUUACACCCACGCCAGCCAAUGCUACACCCACCUCUCCCGGUACGCGUUGAUUUUGUAUACCUGUAUGUGUAACCUGUAAGUAAGGAAGAUGUAUAUACAGUCUAGAGUAUUUUUGCAAAACCACGGGUGAUGAAGAAUAAACACAACAAAAAAUAUACAAAAAAAUGUGAUUGGAUCUCUACCUAACCUCCACGGGUGUAAACAAACAACAGCUGACCACUGCAAACAAUGAACAGCUGCACAUGUGAACAGUAAACACGUGGCCCAUGUAAAUACUGCAAACAAAAUAAUAGAAAACAAGAGUAAGGAACGGAAAACAAACAAGAACAGACCAGUCCCACAAAAACCUGAAAACAGGCCACGUGACACACAGCAAGACAACCACUAUAAACAACCCACGUGCGUUUGUUUACAUGUAUCAGCUGAUCGGCGACAGCAAAGGGUAGAAACAUUAGUAUGUGGCGCCCUCCGCUCUCUACGCCCUAUCAGUCUUUAUCUUAACUUAUCAUAAUGCUGUACUUGCCCCUGCCCCUCCGCCGGCCACGCCUCCGCUGCCGGCAGGAGAGAGGUCAAGGGCGCCUGGGUAUUCCAAAAGCAAUAAUAUAAUAGCCAUGGGUCACAAGUGGGUUCGGUGAAGAAUUGAAAGGCCUACAUACUGCUCACAUGUCAAGGCCUAUCACACACACACACACACACACACACACACACACACAAAUAAUAGGGUCUCGUAAUCAUAACUCAAUAUCUGAUGAUUCUGGUGCCACUCCUGAACAACGAAUGCAGCAAGGAAGCGGAAAAAAUACAACGAAAAACACAACACACACACACACACACACACACACAAGGAAGCGGAGACAGGAAAGGAUGACAAGAGGAAGAGAAAGACUAGUACUACUACUUGUAAUAGUAACAACUAGCAAUACUUGUAGCAAUAAUAAUUAGGCCUUGCUUGUGGCAGUGUAGCAGCCGAUGAUUCAAACACGUCCUGAGAGAAGCGUGCUAUGCAAUGACCCUUAGUAACCCAGUAAAUCCAUAGAAAACGUAGCUAGACUUGUAGAUAUGAACACUAGGGAACCCACAAGAGGGAGACAGAGAGAGAGACACCGAGAUGAGAUAUUUGAACGAUUUGUUGAGGGUAAAGAGAGACAUUGAGAGAGUGAAACACGUCGAAACUGAAUAGACGCAUAAGGCUGAGAGAUUGUAAAGAAAAGUUUGAAUAGACUCGAUGGAAAGGAAGGAAAGUUGAAUGAAUUGGUACACUAGUUACACAAAUUGAGAGAUUACGGUAGAAAGUGGAUGGAUUAGAAAAGAAUGUUGGAUUGUGGAGAGAAAACUGAAUAAGAUUGAUAGCCAUUGAAACAUUGUGAAGAAGAAACUCCAGAAUAGGGAGAAGAGAGAGAAAACGAGAAAUGACGAGAAAAAGUAAAAAGAAAAA